CUGUGGCCAGGCUCUGUGGGAAUCCUUGCAGGGAAGGGAACUCGUUAGUUCUUUGCAGCCGAUAAACCACAUGUCAGCCAUGGGAGAUGGGGAAGAUGUCGUGGUGCUGAGCAAGAAACUCUGCUGAAAUCUCUCUCCUCAGAUGAGCUUGGUUCGUGGGAGCCUGGAACAGUAAUAUUCAUGCACACCUCCAUCCCAAAGUUAUCCACCCCCAAGGUACAACCACCCCUCACUGGGUGUGAGCUCUGUGUUCUUUUAGACCGCAUCUUUAAAAGUGAAGUGAGAGAAUUUUACACCCAUCAGUAACAAAGAAAGUCCAAAGCUCAAGAAGCGGAAUCGCGGUGUCACGAUGGGACCUCAGUUCCGUGAACUCCAGCAAUGGUCUCCGCAGUGUCACCACGGUUCCCAUGAGGCCCUGCUGAAUCACAGCAGCCCCUUUCUUCCACAAGGGUCACAGCGGGUCCUUGGCUCCAUGGGGGGGUGGUUUGGAGCUCCUGCACCCUCAGCAGCUGGAGGGACACCACGCCAGACCAGCCAGGCCUCUCAGCUUGGUUCUGCUCCUCAGCAGGUGAGCAGGAGCUCAACAGCCAGCUCACCUGUGCAGUGGUGUCCUCUCCUCCAGGGACACACAGCACCACCUUCAGCUGGGAGCCCCCAGCUUCUUCCCUGUGCCAGGAGCCUCCGCUGCUGCCGUGCUCUGCCCGGGGCCAGGGCUGCCUCCUGACAAGGAGACACCAGGAAAUCUCCUGAUUCCCCUGCCCUCUCCUGGGUCUCAGCAGGAAAUCUUGGACCAGAAGCAGUUGGGCAACACCUCAAAUUCCCAUUUCUUGUCUCAGGCACAGCUCUGGCCUCAGGCAGGGAAAUUGCGCAGCAGCUCGCAAGAGCCUCAUUGUGCCAGUGAAAAAAAUCGAAUCUCAUCUUUUCCUGGAAAUAUUCUUUAUGACAAAAUAGUGGCUGGCAGCUGGUGAGGAGCAGGACAGCUCCUGGCUGGUCCCUGCACAGCUCUCCAUGUUGUCCUGCUGGCGCUGUCGGCCUUGGGCCGGCUGCAGCGGGCACACCUGAGAGAGGCACAAAGCCCAGCUCAGGGGGGCUGCUGCUUACCCAGGGCACUGAAGAACUUUUCUACUUGAGCUCCUUGGACGCCCGGCGUGCAGAGAGGAAACUCUCCCUCUCCUGAUGCCUACAGCGUCCCUUCCGGCUCCUCCGCCGAUGUUCCACCUGCACACGGGUGGGAGAGAGGGUCACACGCAGCAAAAGGACCUCUGGACGUCAAGGCAGGGGGAUCCAGAGACCCUGAGUUGCACCUGAGCACUGGGGGUGUAAAGCACUCGCUGUGGGCUCUGGAGGAGAGUCGAGCGUGUGUCCGGGGAC